AUGGGGUGUCCCUAUGUAUUGUCCCUAUGUGUUGUCCCUAUGGGGCGGUUCUAUGGGGUGGUGCUAUGGGGUGGCCCUAUGGGCUGCCCCUAUGUGUUGGCCCUAUGGGGUGAUGCUAUGGAUUGGCCCUAUAUAUUGUCCCUAUGGGGUGGCCCUAUAUGUUGUCCCUAUGGGGUGUCCCUAUGUGUUGUCCCUAUGUGCUGUCCCUAUGUGCUGUUCCUAUGGGGCGGCUCUAUGGGGUGGCGCUAUGGGGUGUCCCUAUGGUUUGGCUCUAUGGGGUGGCCCUAUGGUUUGGCCCUAUGUGCUGCCCCUAUGUGUUGUCCCUAUGUGCUGUCCCUAUGGGGCAGUUCUAUGGGGUGGUUCUAUAGGGCAGCGCUAUGGGGUGUCCCUAUGGUUUGGCUCUAUGGGGUGGCCCUAUGGGGUGGCGCUAUGGGGUGGCCCUAUGGGGUGAUGCUAUGGGUGACCCUAUGUACUGCCCCUAUGUGCUGUUCCUAUGGGGUGUCCCUAUGUAUUGUCCCUAUGUGUUGUCCCUAUGGGGCGGUUCUAUGGGGUGGCGCUAUGGGGUGGCCCUAUGGUUCGGCUCUAUGGGGUGGCCCUAUGGGGUGGCCCUAUGUGCUGCCCCUAUGUGCUGUCCCUAUGGGGUGUCCCUAUGCAUUGUCCCCAUGUGCUGCCCCUAUGGGGUGGUUCUAUGGGGCAGCACUGACCCCUAUGUGCUGCCCCAUGUGCUGUCCCUAUGGGGCGGCUGUAUGGGGUGUCCCUAUGUGCUGUCCCUAUGUGCUGUCCCUAUGUGCUGCCCCUAUGGGUCGUUUCUAUGGGGCAGCGCUGACCCCUAUGUGCUGCCCUAUGCAUUGUCCCCAUGUGCUGCCCCUAUGUGUGGGUUCUAUGGGGCAGCUCUAUGGGGCAGCCCUAUGGGUCGUUUCUAUGGGGCAGUGCUGACCCCUAUGUAUUGUCCCCAUGUGCUGCCCCUAUGGGUCGUUUCUAUGGGGCAGCACUGACCCCCAUGUGCUGUCCCCAUGUGCUGCCCCUAUGGGUUGGUUAUGGGGCCGCCCCAUAGCUCUGUCCGCGGCUCCUCUCCCCCCCCCCUUCUCUUUCCCUACAAAAACCCUUUUUAUAUGGGAUUUAUGGGAUUUCUGCCCUCCCCCCCCCGCCGCCCCAUAGGCCGCUAUAAAUACCCGGGCGGGGCGCUGCGGUUUGGGGCGGGAUCGGCCGAUUUUGGUUAAAAAAAUACAAACACGUGGAAAAAAAAAGUGGAGAUUUUUAGUUUGGGGUCGGAGGGGAGUAAUGGGAUCCUAUGGGAGUAAUGGGAUCCUAUGGGACUAAUGGGAUCCUAUGGGUUUCUAUGGGGUUCUAUAGGAUUGGAUGGGGUUAAUGGGAUUCUAUGGGGUUCUAUAGGAUUGGAUGGGGUUAAUGGGAUCCUAUGGGAUUCUAUGGGGUUCUAUAGGAUUGGAUGGUGUUAAUGGGAUCCUAUGGGGUUUAUGGGAUCCUAUGGGGCUGAUGGAAUUCUAUGGGGUUGAUGGGAUCCUAUGGGGUUCUAUAGGAUUCUAUGGGGCUGAUGGGAUUCUAUGGGAUUCUAUAGGAUUGGAUGGGGUUGGGUGGGAUCCUAUGGGGCUGAUGGGAUCCUAUGGGAUUCUAUAGGAUUGGAUGGGGUUGAUGGGAUUCUAUGGGGCUGAUGGGAUUCUAUGGGGUUAAUGGGAUUCUAUGGGGCUGAUGGGAUUCUAUGGGGUUUAUGGGAUCCUAUGGGGUUCAAUAGGAUUCUAUGGGGCUGAUGGGAUCCUAUGGGGUUCUAUAGGGUUGGAUGGGGUUUAUGGGAUCCUAUGGGGUUCUAUAGGAUUCUAUGGGGUUUAUGGGAUCCUAUGGGGUUCUAUAGGAUUCUAUGGGGUUGAUGGGAUCCUAUGGGGUUCUAUAGGACUGCAUGGCGUUGAAUUCAGCUCGGCAU
rnacentral:lncRNA from 1 species